AUGUUUGCCAGCUAAUAUUUUCACCUAAACUCUGAAUCAGAGAAGCGUUUUCUUAGUAAUUUUUAAACGUAUCUGCAGUAGCUAUAACUGUCUUAAGAUUAUAGAAGCCUAAUAGACACUGUUCUUAUGCUGUAAGGGUUAACAAAAUAUCUUUCUUUUCCAACAAAUAGAUUGAUAAAUGUGACAAAAUUUCUCCUUUGGGGAUCACCAUGGUUUAAAUUAGUUCUUCCAUUGGAGAAAUAUCUGUUCUUUUUCAUCUUCUUUAAGUCUAUUUCUUUGUCUGAAUUAUUUACUUCAUAAAUUCUUCUUUUCUCUUUUAUUUUUUUGAAAUGGUCCCUGAAACACUUUCUAUGGUUCCCCUUCAAACUUUAGCAUACCUUUUCAAUCAAAUAUUUAUUCAUGUUCUUUGGCCUGAAUCUCAUCUUCAAAAUUACACUCAAGGCAGGGAAUUUCUCUUGUUCAACAAAGAGAUGGUGUCACUGCAUUUCUAAAACAUCCUUUUCUUUUAUGAAUAUAUAUAAUUUCAAUCAGAUUUUAGAACUAUGGACUACAAGUGUGUUUUUAACUUCUUUUGUAUCUCUCUGCCCUGUAGCUCUUAUUCCACAAAGUAAAUAUCAAUAAUCACUUCUUUUUGUAGUACUAGGGAUUGAACCCAGGGCCUCAUGCAUAUUAGGUAAGCACUCUACCACUGAACCACAUCCCCAGCCCUCCAUAAAUAAUUCUAACCCUUCUUUGAAG
rnacentral:lncRNA from 1 species